rnacentral:rRNA from 1 species
CAAUAGCGUAUAUUAAAGCUGUUGCGGUUAAAAAGCUCGUAGUUGGAUUUCUGUCAAGGACGACUGGUCCGCCCUCCGGGUGAGCACAUAGUUUGGUCUUGACAUCUUGCUGGAAGCUGUUGCUGCACUUGGCUGUGUGGCGCAGUGUUCAGCACUUUCACUUUGAGGAAAUUGGAGUGUUUCAAGCAGGCACAUGCCUUUGGACACAGUAGCAUGGAAUAAUUAGAUUGGGCUUUUGCUCCAAUUUGUCGGUUUCUGGAGCUGAGGUGAGUAUUAAUGGGGAUUGUUGGGGGCAUCCGAAUUUAGCCGUCAGAGGUGAAAUUCUUGGAUCUGCUAAAGACGGACAACUGCGAAAGCGUUUGCCCAGGAUGUUUNCAUUGA